rnacentral:rRNA from 1 species
UACGGAGGGUGCAAGCGUUGUUCGGAAUCAUUGGGCGUAAAGCGCGUGUAGGCGGCUUGGCAAGUCAGUUGUGAAAGCCCGGGGCCCAACCCCGGAAUUGCAUCUGAAACUGCCUGGCUGGAGUCCCGGAGAGGAAGGCAGAAUUCCCGGUGUAGGGGUGAAAUCCGUAGAUAUCGGGAGGAAUACCAGCGGCGAAGGUGGCCUUCUGGACGGUGACUGACGCUGAGACGCGAAAGCGUGGGGAGCAAACAGG